rnacentral:lncRNA from 1 species
AUUCUUAAGACUUGUUUCAUAAAUCUCCUAUGAAAUGGAAACUCCUGUAAGAUCCUAUAUAUAUAUACAUGUAACGUUUUAUAGAUUAGAUUGAAGCUAUCAUGGUAAUGGUAAAUUUAGAAGAAGUACAUACCACUAUUGUAAUACUGUAUGCUUGGGAAUUUGCUGUAGUUUAAUUUUUGCCUUUUCCCCCUCUGUACUGUAGUAAGAGUGCAUUUAUCAUUUCAGCCAGCAUUUUAAAAAGCAUAAUAAACAUAGUAAUUAAAUGUCACAGGCAAAUUUUACAUUGGGCGAAAAUUGAUUUUAUCAUCGAAGGACAACAAUUUCCUGGUACAAAUAGGUAAUGUAAGGUGAUGUAGUACAUGUUAUACCAUUCAGGUAAUCCCAUCUAUAACCUUUGGCCGGUAAUAGUUCAUGUCUUGUCAGAUAACUUAGUCUCUAUCACCCUUUGCAGAUUAUGUGAUAUGACCUGCUUUGGGUUGACAAAUCUUCAUGUCUCCCUAGCACAGGGCCAGUAAUUGUAAAACAUUAGAGGUUGAAAAUAAGGGUCUAGCUGUCACAAAUAGGGCAUAAAGAUGCUAAGUUUAUUCCCAAAAAUCCCUGAUCCUUAGCGCAGGAAGAGCUGGUUUCCAGAAAGUACCUGAACCCUUUCAACCCUAUGUAACUUUAGUAGACUCUACCAUGUAUUGAUCUGGAUGAGUCCAUUUUGGUCUACAGUGGUGAAAGGGUUAAUAUCUGUUAAGCAAGUGGUUGGGACUUAUGAUGAGUAUUAUACAUUAGUUCAGAAAUAUGUAAAUAUGAGUCUGGUGUCUGUCAAAGUUUGACUAUAAAUCAAAACUUGCAGGUGUGAUUUUUCGAAAAGUUUAUCUUUUCAUGAAAUAUUCACCAAAAGGUAGCAUUUUUGCAAUGAUUAGUUCUAAAAAUUGUACUUAAGAGUGAUAGAACAAAAUACAUGUGGUCAUUUCUUUUUAUUUUACAUUCUUAACAUACACUAUAUAUGAACACCUAUAAAGGCAUUUCCUUAUAUGGCUCCUUAGAGACCUACAACAGAAGGCUGUGUAAAGCAAUAAGUCCUUAUAAAGACUUCUACCAACACAUACACUUUAUAAGCAGGGAUGUGAAGUUUCUUUUUUGAGGAUUUCUGUUUUUAUUUAUUUUCCUAAGAAUUUUUGAAGGUUCUUGAUUUGCUCAGAAAUACCUGAAAGUUUUGAAGAUUCUUUGGGUGUAAGGAAGCAUGUUUCUCCCUUUUCAAUUUUAUUUCCUCCUUUUUUCCAAUCCCUAAUCACAUCCAUGUAUGAGGGGUUUUGUCUACAGAGGUAUGUCCUUAUAAGGGCUCCUAUAUACAUACAUUAUAAGGUUAAAUACAUACCUUGUAAGGGUAUCUGUGUAUAGUGAUGUCCUUAUAAGGGCUCCUAUAGACAUAUACAUAAGGGUAUCUGUGUAUAGGAAUAUCCUUAUUAGGGUUCAAAGACUUACCAUAUAAGGGUAUCUGUAUAGAGAUAUGUCCUUAUAAGGGCUCCUUUAUAUAUACAUACCAUAUAAGGGUAUCUGUGUAUAGGAAUAUCCUUAUUAGGGUUCAAAGACUUCCCAUAUAAGGGUAUCUGUAGAGAUAUGUCCUUAUAAGGACAUAUAUAUGCCCUUAUAUGGACACCUCAUUUUGUAUUUCAUCAAUUACCUUUCCUUUGUCAUAAUAUUUUUUCCUUACAAUGGAAAACAGUUUUUUGUAUUUAAUUAGUUUAUUAUGAUUUUAUCUAACAAUUAACUGCUGCCUUUUCAUCUUUUUACUUUCUCUUCUUUUCUUUGUAAUCGUUACAUUUUUGUUUGCUCACUUAUUCUAACCAAUCUAUGCCGAGGCUUUGUGUGUAUGUAAUCAGUGUGACAGAUAUAAAUAGUGCUGAACAACUGUCUGAUUGUAGAAAAUACGGACGUUAAGAACCAGCAGGUGAUCAGCGUGAUUGUUGACAGACAAGCCAACAAGAGCAGCGACUACCAGCUACACCUGGUUACAAACCGGCUCUGUUAUGUGAUACAUUGUAUUAUAUUUUCAAAAUAGUUUCUUGGCAAGUUUAACAUGCCAGGAUUUAUAUCCAAAAAUGUUACAUUUAAAAACAGAUAACUUGGUUGUUCCACAUGAAGGAAGGGGCCCCAGGUCUGUCUGGUGGUGCAAGGAUAGAUAACUCCUAUGAGGAAGUUUGUAAGUUUGUGUUUUGACGGGUAACUGUUCAUAAACCUGUGUUUGAUAUAUGUUACUUGGUGUUCAUUUAUUAAUGUGGCAAAUUUCAAUUUUUGGCAGAAGAGGCAAAUUUUUCAUCCCUUGAUUAUCGAGGGUCAAAGCUUAGGCUCAGGUAGUUGUUAUUGUACAGGUUUGACAGAUGACAAGCUCUUUAUAACCCAAUGUCCUGUCAACCUUUGAAGAUACAAGUUGGACAGGGGCUAUACCUAGGCCUGCUACUCAUUUGUCUUUUAUGUGAAACACUAACAUGCAAUGAUUUCUUUUUUUUUAAAUCGGCAAUAGACCACUUAUUUCAACAAUAAAUAAUAUUAGGCAUUUCAUAUUUUUGAGAAAAAAAAAUGAAAUUUACUUAAAAAUCUGCUUAUAUUUGUAAACAAAUUUCAGGAGUCUUGCGUUAUUUCAAAGUUCUUAAUUUGUUUGAUAAGUUGUACUUCUAACGUCAAGUAACAUAUCUAAAACCAAUAUGUGUAACCCUGCUGACACCAAGCACUUCCUGUUUCUGUAUCAUGGUUGUCAAAAUUUCAUCAAUGUUGACUGUUCACUCCUUUUUAUAUCAAGGUGCUAUGAUCAUACAAUGAACUGCUUGUGACCAUGUUGUACACCCUUCAUUAACAAUAAACCUCCGGGGUGAUCAUUUGUUCCUUAGAAACUAUUGGAUGGUGUCAGUAAUUUAUUUUCAUCACAAAUAAAUAUUUUCCUUUAAUAAACGCA